AGAGUUUGAUCCUGGCUCAGGACGAACGCUGGCGGCGUGCUUAGCACAUGCAAGUCGAGCGGAAAGGCCCCUUCGGGGGUACUCGAGCGGCGAACGGGUGAGUAACACGUGGACAACCUACCUCUCGCACCGGAAUACCCCGGGGAAACCCGGAUCAAUGCCGGAUAACGUGCAGUGCUGCAGGGUGCUGUACCAAAGAUAGCUUCGGCCUUCGACGAGAGACGGGUCCGCGUCCCAUUAGCUUGUUGGCGGGGUAACGGCCCACCAAGGCGACGAUGGGUAGCUGGUCUGAGAGGAUGAUCAGCCACACUGGGACUGAGACACGGCCCAGACUCCUACGGGAGGCAGCAGUGGGGAAUCUUGCGCAAUGGGCGAAAGCCUGACGCAGCAACGCCGCGUGCGGGAGGAAGGCCUUCGGGUUGUAAACCGCUUUCAGGAGGGACGAAGCUACCUGGGUUAAUAGCCCGUGGAGUGACGGUACCUCCAGAAGAAGCCCCGGCUAACUACGUGCCAGCAGCCGCGGUAAUACGUAGGGGGCGAGCGUUGUCCGGAAUCAUUGGGCGUAAAGAGCGUGUAGGCGGCUUGGCAAGUCUGACGUGAAAGCCCGCGGCUCAACCGCGGAUUGUCGUUGGAAACUGCCUCGCUAGAGUCCGGAAGAGGAGAGCGGAAUUCCUGGUGUAGCGGUGGAAUGCGCAGAUAUCAGGAAGAACACCCGUGGCGAAGGCGGCUCUCUGGGACGGUACUGACGCUGAGACGCGAAAGCGUGGGGAGCGAACAGGAUUAGAUACCCUAGUAGUCC
rnacentral:rRNA from 1 species